rnacentral:rRNA from 1 species
GAUGAACGCUGGCGGCGUGCCUAAUACAUGCAAGUCGAGCGAACAGACGAGGAGCUUGCGCCUCUGACGUUAGCGGCGGACGGGUGAGUAACACGUGUAUAACCUACCUAUAAGACUGGGAUAACUUCGGGAAACCGGAGAUAAUACCGGAUAAUAUAUUGAACCGCAUGGUGCAAUAGUGAAAGACGGUGUUUCUGUCACUUAUAGAUGGAUCUGCGCCGCAUUAGCUAGUUGGUAAGGUAACGGCUUACCAAGGCAACGAUGCGUAGCCGACCUGAGGGGGUGAUCGGCGACAUUGGAACUGAGCCGCGGUCCAGAGGCCUACGGGAGGCAGCAGUAGGGAAUCUUAGGCAAUGGGGGGAAGCCUGACGGAGCAACGCCGAGUGAGAGAUGGAGAUGUUGGGAUCGUAAAACUGUGUUAUUAGGGAAGAACAACUGUGUACGUAGCUAUGGACGGCUUGACGGUACCUAAUAAGAAAGCCACGGCUAACUACGUG